CCGGUCUGGGAAAGUCCUCUGGCGAUUCAGAUUCAGCUACAAUCAAUAGCAUGUCACACCAGCUUGAUGAGAUCUACAAUAUAUUAAUUGAUAUGAACCAUAGAAUUAGCAGGCUGGAGAAACAUAUAAUUACAAACCACAAAACGCCUAUGCCAGCAGGAGCGUCAGUACCACCAACAGUGCAACACCCACUGGCUGCACCAACAACACCAGUGCGCCAACCAGGACCACCAGCACCAGUGCACC